CGAAAGCCUGACGGAGCAAUACCGCGUGAGGGAGGAAGGCUCUUGGGUUGUAAACCUCCUUUUUCAGGGAAGAUAAUGACGGUACCAGAGGAAUCAGCAUCGGCUAACUUCGUGCCAGCAGCCGCGGUAAUACGAGGGAUGCAAGCGUUAUCAGGAAUUAUUGGGCGUAAAGCGUUCGUAGGUGGCUAGAUAAGUCUGUCGUCAAAGCAUGGAGCUUAACUCCAUUAAGGCGAUGGAAACUGUUUGGCUAGAGUGUGGUAGGGGUAACAGGAAUUCCCAGUGUAGCGGUGAAAUGCGUAGAUAUUGGGAAGAACACCAGCGGCGAAAGCGUGUUACUGGGCCACAACUGACACUGAGGGACGAAAGCUAGGGGAGCG
rnacentral:rRNA from 1 species